UUCUGGGAGGCGGUGCCUGGGGCUUGAAGGGGUGCUGGGAAGCGGCGGAGGGGCUGGGAUCCUAGCAGGGAUCUAAGCGCAGGGGGGUUGAUAGAAGAUGGCUCCCAGCAAGGAGGCUGGGAGCAGAUUAGAGGAGCUGGCAGCAGAGGAACGGGGAGCAUCGCAGGGAUGUGGGAGCAGAAAGCCUAAGCUGGGGCUAGCCCCCCAGAACUAGGGUGGAAAAGCUGAGCGUCUAACCUCCUGCAGUCCAUCCUGCUGGCUAGUGGAGCGUCUGACACAGAGAAGCAGACGCCAACCGGCCUUGUCCCCAAAGCGGGAAAGCUUUCCUUCAGCCCUUCUGUGCCUUUUCUGAGGCUGCUCACAGACACAGCCGAGGCUGGGUGCGGCGAAGCUCCAGAAUUCGAGGCUGGGUGCAGGGGAGCGCCAGAAUUCUCAGCAGCGAUGCCCCCUCACUGACGGGCAGCUUCUUCUUGAGAACUCCACCGUCCCAGUCGCGCAGGAGAACUACUCCGAAGCCCACAGCAACAGAAGCUUUGCUGUUUGAAAUUGUAGCCGGAAAAAUGACACCAGGGGCUGCAAAGGUGGCGGAGAAGUUAAGAACACUUGCUAUUCUAGAAGAGGACACAGGGCCUGAUGGCACACUGUACCUGUAAUCCCAGCGCUCAGGAGUUGACACAAGAAGAUUGAGAUUCGAUGCCAGCUUCAAGGACAUGAACCCUGUUCUCAAAUCAACAGAAGGACAUAGAUCUCAAUGACUUCUCCAGCACCAGGCCUGCUAUGCUGCUGCCAUAAUCCUUGCCAUGAUGAUAAUGGACUAAACAUCUGAAACUGCAAGCAAGACUUCAAAUAAAUGC